CCUAUAACUAGACCCUACGCCUAUGCCCCUUUAUCCAUUUCUCUCUCUUUAUUUCUUAUCUCUUGUUGAUUUGAUAGCCGGAAGCUCUCUGAUUUUUCAUUGAAUCAUGAAUCUUUUCUUUGGCCAAAGAUCUCAUUCAAUCCUACAAACUCUAAUUUUCUCAAUCAGCUCUGAAGUUUUUUCUGUCUCUUUGGUGGCUUUAGAUUUCAUGGAAACAGAGAUAGGAAAUCAAGAAACAGCAAGAAGUACGAGCUUGAUCUGUGAUCCGGUGAUGGCGGAUUCAAUAGACAAGAUGGUGAUUGAAACUUGCAAAGUUCGGGACUUGUGUUCAGAUUGGUGGAGAUUCGAUUAGAUAGUCUUCAAGAUUUCAGAAGUCUCCUCUGCCUAUUCUAUUUACUUGCAGGCCAAAAUGGGAGGUAGUCAGUAUGGUGGAUGUGGUCCGUUUAGCCUUGGAACUAGGAGCUGAUUACAUUGGUCUUUAACUUCAUGUCAGCAUCGUUAAAAAACUGAAGAGUUCUGUUUUUCACAAGGUGUUUUGUAAUACAUUGUACACAUAAUAAUGAUGAAUAUAAUGUAUCUGGUAGCAUUUGUUAUCCAGUUUAGCUUAAGUAUAUCCAGUAGCGUGAAAAUGUAUAUGGUAGUAUUUGUUAAAAAUCGGAUAAGCAUGAUGGUUUGUAAUCC